UACGAGGGGUGCAAGCGUUGUUCGGAAUCACUGGGCGUAAAGCGUGUCUAGGCGGAUGAGUAAGUCUGUUGUGAAAGACCUUGGCUCAACCAAGGAACUGCAAUGGAUACUAUUCAACUUGAGUCAUGGAGAGGUCAGCGGAAUUCCGAGUGUAGCAGUGAAAUGCGUAGAUAUUCGGAGGAACACCAGCGGCGAAGGCGGCUGACUGGCCAUGUACUGACGCUGAAGCACGAAAGCAUGGGGAGCAAACAGG
rnacentral:rRNA from 1 species